rnacentral:rRNA from 1 species
UACGGAGGGUGCGAGCGUUAAUCGGAAUACUGGCGUAAAGCGCACGCAGGCGGUUUGUUAAGCAAGAUGUGAAAGCCCCGGGCUCAACCUGGGAACUGCAUUUUGAACUGGCAGACUAGAGUCUUGGGAGGGGGGGGUGGAAUUCAGGUGUAGCGGUGAAAUGCGUAGAGAUCUGGAGGAACAUCAGUGGCGAAGGCGGCCCCCUGGCCAAAGACUGACGCUCAUGUGCGAAAGUGUGGGUAGCGAACAGGAUUAGAUACCCCCGUAGUCC